rnacentral:rRNA from 1 species
AAGCGGAGAUUGCGAUGUUGAACGUUUUCGGACGGUCUUUGUUGCGAGAACCGCGUUAAUCGAAUCGGCUUGAACCGGGCAAAAGUCGUAACAAGGUUUCCGUAGGUGAACCUGCGGAAGGAUCAUUAU